UAUUAUAGAACUAUUACUAACCAUUGUACAUGCCAAUACAUUACAGGGAAGGUCUAUAAAUUACACCAUUCGCAAAGAAAGAAUAUACUCACACAAAAGUUUCAUAAAGCAUCAAUUAAUUUGCUGUGGUUCUCCAAGAUGCAAGUAAUGGCUGCACGGGACAUUGAUUAUGAUGUCUCUCCAAUGGAAAGGAGAUUACUCCCGCAACUUAAUACUUGUCUUAGAUCUUGCACAUCCGAUAGUGACUGCAGUGACUGCAUACUUUGCUGCCAUUGUAACUACAUGACAUUCAAUACGUUCCAAUGUGGUCCUAGAGUUGGAGUAUAGAGAGAACACUAUUGUCCGAUCGCAACAAUCUGCUCCAAAAUCAUGUAACACAUUUAUGAUAUACUAUAAUUUCUAUGUUUCCUUCGUCUUUUCCCCUUUCCGCUAUUAUGUGUUGUACGAAUAAUGAAGAAUGUCAAGUGAUGACAUUCAAUUCAGGAAUAAAGAUAAAUUCAAAUGUCAAGUGAUGACAUUCAAUUCAGGAAUAAAGAGAAAUUCAAAUCUCAUGUUGUCUUGGCUAGAUUAUAUGUACGGUUAUUUAAUAUUUACAAAUUAUAUUUACAGAC